CCUACGGGGGGCAGCAGUGGGGGAUAUUGCGCAAUGGGGGAAACCCUGAUGCAGCGACGCCGCGUGAGCGAUGAAGUAUUUCGGUAUGUAAAGCUCUAUCAGCAGGGAAGAAAAUGACGGUACCUGACUAAGAAGCCCCGGCUAACUACGUGCCAGCAGCCGCGGUAAUACGUAGGGGGCAAGCGUUAUCCGGAUUUACUGGGUGUAAAGGGAGCGUAGACGGCAGUGCAAGUCUGAAGUGAAAGGCAAGGGCUCAACCUUUGGACUGCUUUGGAAACUGUGCUGCUAGAGUGUCGGAGAGGCAA
rnacentral:rRNA from 1 species